CUAUACAUGCAGUCGAACGCUUCUUUCCUCCCGAGUGCUUGCACUCAAUUGGAAAGAGGAGUGGCGGACGGGUGAGUAACACGUGGGUAACCUACCCAUCAGAGGGGGAUAACACUUGGAAACAGGUGCUAAUACCGCAUAACAGUUUAUGCCGCAUGGCAUAAGAGUGAAAGGCGCUUUCGGGUGUCGCUGAUGGAUGGACCCGCGGUGCAUUAGCUAGUUGGUGAGGUAACGGCUCACCAAGGCCACGAUGCAUAGCCGACCUGAGAGGGUGAUCGGCCACACUGGGACUGAGACACGGCCCAGACUCCUACGGGAGGCAGCAGUAGGGAAUCUUCGGCAAUGGACGAAAGUCUGACCGAGCAACGCCGCGUGAGUGAAGAAGGUUUUCGGAUCGUAAAACUCUGUUGUUAGAGAAGAACAAGGACGUUAGUAACUGAACGUCCCCUGACGGUAUCUAACCAGAAAGCCACGGCUAACUACGUGCCAGCAGCCGCG
rnacentral:rRNA from 1 species